rnacentral:rRNA from 1 species
UACGAAGGGGGCUAGCGUUGCUCGGAAUCACUGGGCGUAAAGGGUGCGUAGGCGGGUCUUUAAGUCAGAGGUGAAAUCCUGGAGCUCAACUCCAGAACUGCCUUUGAUACUGAAGAUCUUGAGUUCGGGAGAGGUGAGUGGAACUGCGAGUGUAGAGGUGAAAUUCGUAGAUAUUCGCAAGAACACCAGUGGCGAAGGCGGCUCACUGGCCCGAUACUGACACUGAGGGACGAAAGCUAGGGGAGCGAACAGG